AUUGAACGCUGGCGGCAGGCCUAACACAUGCAAGUCGGGCGCGCGGCGGACGGGUGAGUAAUGUAUGGGGAUCUGCCUGAUGGAGGGGGAUAACUACUGGAAACGGUAGCUAAUCCCGCCUCCCCUCCGCUGACCCCAUAUGGGAUUAGCUUGUAGGUGCGGUAACGGCUCACCUAGGCGACGAUCCCUCUCUGGUCUUAGAGGAUGAUCAGCCAAACUGGGACUGAGACACGGCCCAGACUACUACGGGAGGCAGCAGGGGGGAAUAUUGCACAAUGGGCGCAAGCCUGAUGCAGCCAUGCCGCGUGUAUGAAGAAGGCCUUCGGGUUGUAAAGUACUUUCAGUCGGGAGGCGUUACCGACAGAAGAAGCACCGGCUAACUCCGUGCCAGCAGCGGCGGUAAUUC
rnacentral:rRNA from 1 species